CUACGGGGCGCUGCAGUGGGGAAUAUUGCACAAUGGGGGGAACCCUGAUGCAGCAACGCCGCGUGGAGGAUGACACAUUUCGGUGCGUAAACUCCUUUUAUAUAAGAAGAUAAUGACGGUAUUAUAUGAAUAAGCACCGGCUAACUCCGUGCCAGCAGCCGCGGUAAUACGGGGGGUGCAAGCGUUACUCGGAAUCACUGGGCGUAAAGAGCAUGUGAGGCUGGUUUGUAAGUUGGAAGUGAAAUCCUAGGGCGUAACCAUAGAACUGCUUCCAAAACUACUUACCUAGAGUAUGGGAGAGGUAGAUGGAAGUUCUGGUGUAGGGGUAAAAUCCGUAGAGAGCAGAAGGAAUACCGAUUGCGAAGGCGAUCUACUGGAACAUUACUGACGCUCAGAUGCGAAAGCGUGGGGAGCAAACAGGAUUAGAUACCCUCGUAGUC
rnacentral:rRNA from 1 species